rnacentral:rRNA from 1 species
AUUGAACGCUAGCGGCAGGCCUAACACAUGCAAGUCGGGCGAGAGGCGGACGUGAGAGUAAUGAAUGGGCCUCUGCCUGAUGGAGGGGGAUAACUACUGGAAACGGAUGCUAAAAACGCAUACAAUCAGAUAAACCGAAAUGGGAUUAGCGUGUAGGUGAGGUAACGGCUCACCUAGGCGACGAUCCCUAGCUGGUCUGAGAGGAUGAUCAGCCACACUGGGACUGAGACACGGCCCAGACUCCUACGGGAGGCAGCAGUGGGGAAUAUUGCACAAUUGGCGCAAGCCUGAUGCAGCCAUGCCGCGUGUAUGAAGAAGGCCUUCGGGUUGUAAAGUACUUUCAGUCGGGAGGCGUUACCGACAGAAGAAGCACCGGCUAACUCCGUGCCAGCAGCCGCGGUAAUUC